UUACCCCUCCCUGGAUCUUUCCCUUCAUUAUAUAUUAGUUCCGGCCUACGGCUGUCUUCAGGGGGAGUGUCCGCGACGUCGAACAACUUUUGGUGACGUCGGCGGAAGUACUCCCCCCGUUUGACACUUGAUUGUUUUCCCCCCACUAGUUUCAUUACACACCAUGUGACUCCAAGAGGAGGACCUACAAGGACUUUCAAACAUUUAAAAAGAAGAAAGAUUCCUGAGGCUACUAUACAGCUACUGAGUGAAAUGCGUUUAGCUGAUUAUUCUGGACUUUUAAUUGGAC